GUGUCAGCCGCCGCGGUAAGACAGAGGUGGCAAGCGUUGUUCGGAUUUACUGGGCUUAAAGGGCGUGUAGGCGUCCUGAUAAGUCAGGUGUGGAAUCCCUGGGCUCAACCCAGGAAUUGCACUUGAAACUGUCAGGAUUGAGUCAUGCAUAGGAGGGCGGAAUUCCUGGUGUAGCGGUGAAAUGCGUAGAUAUCAGGAGGAAGGCCUGUGGCGAAGGCGGCCCUCUGGGCAAUGACUGACGCUGAGGCGCGAAAGCGUGGGGAGCAAACAGGAUUAGAUACCCUGGUAGUCCACGCCCUAAACGGUGGGUACUCGGUGUGGGUGACAAUAGUCAUCUGUGCCCAAGGGAAACCGUUAAGUACCCCGCCUGGGGAGUACGGUCGCAAGGCUGAAACUCAAAUGAAUUGACGGGG
rnacentral:rRNA from 1 species